rnacentral:rRNA from 1 species
GUAGGGGGCAAGCGUUAUCCGGAUUUACUGGGUGUAAAGGGAGCGCAGACGGCACGGCAAGCCAGAUGUGAAAGCCCGGGGCUCAACCCCGGGACUCAUUUGGAACUGCUGAGCUAGAGUGUCGGAGAGGCAAGUGGAAUUCCUAGUGUAGCGGUGAAAUGCGUAGAUAUUAGGAGGAACACCAGUGGCGAAGGCGGCUUGCUGGACGAUGACUGACGUUGAGGCUCGAAAGCGUGGGGAGCAAACAGGAUUAGAUACCCUGGUAGUCCACGCCGUAAACGAUGACUGCUAGGUGUCGGGUGGCAAAGCCAUUCGGUGCCGCAGCUAACGCAAUAAGCAGUCCACCUGGGGAGUACGUUCGCUAGAAUG